CAGGACGAACGCUGGCGGCGUGCCUAACACAUGCAAGUCGAGCGGGGACAUUGCGACGGAGACGAAGUACUCGUACGGAGUCAAAGAUGUAAUGUUCUAGCGGCGGACGGGUGAGUAACGCGUGAGCAACCUGUCCCUUACAGGGGGAUAACACAGCGAAAGUUGUACUAAUACCGCAUAAGACCACAGGAUGACAUCGUCCAGGGGUCAAAGGAGCAAUCCGGUAAGGGGUGGGCUCGCGUCCGAUUAGAUAGUUGGUGAGGUAACGGCCCACCAAGUCGACGAUCGGUAGCCGACCUGAGAGGGUGAUCGGCCACAUUGGGACUGAGACACGGCCCAAACUCCUACGGGAGGCAGCAGUGGGGAAUAUUGGGCAAUGGGGGGAAACCCUGACCCAGCAACGCCGCGUGAGGGAAGAAGGUUUUCGGAUCGUAAACCUCUGUCCCAGGUGAAGAGGAAGAGACGGUAGCCUGGGAGGAAGCCCCGGCUAACUACGUGCCAGCAGCCGC
rnacentral:rRNA from 1 species